rnacentral:rRNA from 1 species
UACGGAGGGUGCAAGCGUUAUCCGGAUUCACUGGGCUUAAAGGGUGCGUAGGUGGGCUGGUAAGUCAGUGGUGAAAUCUCCAGGCUUAACUUGGAAACUGCCAUUGAUACUAUCAGUCUUGAAUACCGUGGAGGUCAGCGGAAUAUAUCAUGUAGCGGUGAAAUGCAUAGAUAUGAUAUAGAACACCGAUUGCGAAGGCAGCUUACUAAGCAGAUAUUGACGCUGAGGCGCGAAAGCGUGGGGAGCAAACAGG